AGCUAUAUAAAGCCUAAUCCAGCUCAGGAGCGGGGGAACCAUUACUGGGGUGAAACUCUUUAGGAGUGGGGUGCCUUCAACCCUAACCCGUCAGCUAACCUCGUCGGCUUAGAGAGGAGAA
rnacentral:sRNA from 20 species